AUUUCAAGUGGGUAAUUUAGUCAUUACAUUGUUUGUGGCCAGACGUAAUGGCAGGAAUAUUUUAGCCAGAUUAAUUUUAGACCACACAAAUCCCUCUCUCAUCCUCGUAAGUUUGCUCUCUGAACUUAUUCCCUCUCAUUCUCUUUCGCCUUCCUCCCGAGCCCUUCUUAACUCAAGGCCCCUCUCCCUACUUUUUCCUCUCCAUCUCGAGUUUUUCCUCUCAAGGGAUAUUUUCCCCAGACUAAUUCCAGACCACGUAAAAUCCCUCUCUCAUCCUCCUAAGUUUUCUCUCUGAACUCAACCCCUCCCAUUCUCUUUCGUCUUCCUCCUGAGCCCCCCUUAACACAGAGCCCCUCUCACUACUUCUUCCUCUCCAUGCCGAGUUUUUCCUCUCAAUUCGAUUUCUCUUGUGAAAAUAUCAUUUCUAUAAAAAGCAUGCCUCUUAACUCAAUUUCCAGAACAUAUUUGCGUGAGGGAGUACAAAUUUGGGUAAUUUUUAUUUCCAUCAUCUCGACCAUAACGCAUGUGAGGGAGAUGGAGCCAUAGAACAGAGCUGGGUAAUUUUUUUCCUUGAUUUUCUUGUUUUAUUUCUUGUUUCCCAUCGGUUUUUACCAUAACGCAUGUGAGGGAGACAGAGUACAUCUACGUGAGGGACAAACUACAUCUGCGUGAGGGAGACGGAGCCGCAGAAUAGAUCUAGUGUACAUUUGCGAGAGGGACAAAGUACAUCUGCGUGAGGGAGACGAUGCCGUAGAAUAGAUUUGGCUUCUUUUGCAACUAGAUCAGGAAAAUCAAAUAGUAUGCAUUUCACCAACAAGAUAUCCUACUGCUUACCCACGGAUAGAAAGAAAAGAAGCUAGCAUAUGACACUGGAAAUUGGAAGAGAAUUUUGUAAAUUGUAACUUAUUAUAAUAUUUUCCAAACUCAACAUAUAAUAUUUGUCCAA